CAUAUAUAUGUGAUGGUCUACAUUGCCUUGGGGCUCUGUCAGCAGGAAGGUUACUAUCAGAUGCAUCCGUUCUAUCUUGGAUAAGAUUGUAAGUAAAACAAGCCACUUUGCUUUAUAAUGUACCCAAAGAGCGAUGUUGUGCUAUCAGCAAAAUUGACUCUAUACGAAGGAAGGAGGUUACAGAUAAGGAAAUGAGGCUAUGAAAGGAAAGUCUGUAGAGACACUGACAUCAGUGAGGUACCUGAUGGCAGGGUAGUGACAAAGGGCUAUAAGUUCUGAGGAGUGGGAAGUAACCCUGUAGUGCAGGUAAUUGUCAUUGAGAGAUCGGUGUGGCUGUGAACAAAGCUGGGAGGACUUAAAGAACCAAAGAAUAGAUUCUGGAAUAGAUGAUGGGUGAGAGGAAGACAGAGGCACAUUCGGGUUCAUUGGAUUGUUGGCUUGGGCUUUUCAAAGACCCUUAUGGUGGUUCUUAAACACUUUAACCUCCCUUCCAGCCCACCAGAGGUAGUGGGAAGGAAUGGUUAUUAGGAUAUGGCGGAAACGGACCUGUUUAGAAAUUGCUCUUUGGAGCGAAGCCCAUCUGCAUUGUCAGGAAAUGAACUGUUCAGUUCACCGGUCAGCAGCGGCAGCUUGAUCCACUUGCAAAUACUUCGCAGAUAAGCCAGCAGUUCCGUUCAGUAGUUUUGGGAUAGCAGCAGCAGUGGCAUGACUAAUCCAGGUCUCAGUCGGAUUGACAUCUGUCAGCAGGAGGGUAUCGGCCCUUGUAAGCAGGAGGGACCAGGGCUACCUGAAGAUUUUGCUGCGCAUCUCUCCACAAAGUGAAGAUCUGGAAAGACCAGAGACCAAGAAGCGUUGCAGAACUGGCUCUACAAGCAAGUCCCUCUGACAAUCCACUGAAUCCUAUGUAUAUGCUUCUCAAACGUCACGUGUCCUCCACACGUCUUACCUCACCAUGUGUCUUGCCUCAGCACUGGAGUCUUUCAGUCUGUGUCAGCUGACAUCACUUUAUCAAUCUUCACAAGUUGGCAGAAGUGGCAAGAAGCAGCCAGCCUGCCACCAGAAGUUUUUGGUGAAUUUCUCUCUACGGAGUCAUGACAAUUGGAGCUCAACGAUGCGUGUAAAGCGGACCAAUAGAUGUAUGUCAUCAGGAAGAAUCCUUCAUCACGAGUCCUUUCGUGCGCUUGCUUUAGCAAAACAUCCUCUCACCUGUGUCCAUUUCAGGAAAACACUCCUUCCAUGUGUUUGCCCCAGCAAAAUACCAGCCAACACAACUUUCCAAAGAAACCAGAAGCUUCCACCUCAUUGGACUAUUGAAGCGAGGAUGUUUUUAAGAGAAGCAAACCUGCAGAUUAUCUCACCGAAUUAGUCAGCUUCUAGGCAGGAAACAUGCUACAAUCAACACAAUUUAACGGAAAAGAACACAACUAAGGGACUAUUCACAGGGGCGUUGGCAAGACCGAGGCAACUAGCAACCGUGGGAAGCCAUUCCACCCAGACAGAGUGCUGCAGGGCCAUUGGAAGGAAAAGUGGCCAUUAGCGACCUGCGCCAGCCUGAAGCCGUAGAAGGAAACCUUUUGGACUGUGUGCUUAUUAAAUCUGUCCUUUCUGCCUUCAGGCUUUACCCACCUA
rnacentral:sRNA from 1 species